rfam:Hepacivirus hominis isolate HK6a, complete genome
UUGGCCCCUUUAUGGGAACGAGGGCUGUGGGUGGGCAGGUUGGCUCCUGUCCCCCCGCGGCUCCCGGCCACACUGGGGCCC